rnacentral:rRNA from 1 species
ACGUACACUCCUACGGGAGGCAGCAGUGGGGAAUAUUGGACAAUGGGCGCAAGCCUGAUCCAGCCAUGCCGCGUGAGUGAUGAAGGCCCUAGGGUUGUAAAGCUCUUUCACCGGUGAAGAUAAUGACGGUAACCGGAGUAGAAGCCCCGGCUAACUUCGUGCCAGCAGCCGCGGUAAUACGAAGGGGGCUAGCGUUGUUCGGAUUUACUGGGCGUAAAGCGCACGUAGGCGGACUAUUAAGUCAGGGGUGAAAUCCCGGGGCUCAACCCCGGAACUGCCUUUGAUACUGGUAGUCUUGAGUUCGAGAGAGGUGAGUGGAAUUCCGAGUGUAGAGGUGAAAUUCGUAGAUAUUCGGAGGAACACCAGUGGCGAAGGCGGCUCACUGGCUCGAUACUGACGCUGAGGUGCGAAAGCGUGGGGAGCAAACAGGAUUAGAUACCCUUGUAGUCCCAUGAU